CCAAAUGAUGGACAGUUGAUGAUAUGUUUCAAAUUUGCUUGCCAAGCUGGAGCCACAGCCCAGCUCCAUGACUGGCAAGACUGAAGACAGACUCUUCUCCCGUGUGCUCUGGGGUAUCCCACACCUGGCGAUCCCCUUCUUUUUCAGUGCGUGGCCGACAAAGACCUCCUCUGACCUGAGUUUGGCUGAGCCCUUUUCUUCCCACGUGUAGUUUUCUGGCUUCACAGUCCGUAUGGAACUGCUUUUCUCCUGGCAUAUAAUUGCUACCCUCUUCUUCCUUAUUCUUGGAAGAGUCUCCUUCACUUUUUACUGGUUUUCCUUCUAACUUAGUCUGUGGUUUUCCUCAUUGUGGAAAAGUCUCUGGGAUUCCAGAGCUCAUUGGAAUGAAUCACAGUGCAUCUUUUUUUUUUUUAAAUCAUUGCCGCUUUUAAAAAUUAAAUUAAGUUGAUUGUUUUCAUUUUAUUGAGGUCACAUUGACUUAUGUAAAUUUCAGGUGUACAUCGUUAUAUUUCAGCUUCCGAAUAGACUGCGUUGUGUUCACCACCAAAAGUCUAGUUUCCAUCUGUCACCAUCCAUAUGUGCCCCUCACCCGCUUCUGCUCUGGUAACCACUAAUCUAUUCCCCGUAUCUACGUGUCUGUUUAUCUUCCACAUAUGAGUGAAAUCAUGCUAUUCUUGAUGAAGCCUCGGAGGUUGGGAUGCCUGAGGGAGCGUGACUGCUCUCAUGUCACUGAGCUGGUGAAGCACUUCGUGAUCGCUUAAGGACAGAGCAAACGUGAGCUGGCACUGCUCUUACCGCUGGGACUCCGGGAAGGCAGCUUGUGUUUUUCUGAAGUUGCCAUCCCCUCCCACCCGCCUAGACCAGUCCGUCUGCACAGCCAGAUUGAAAAAUUCAGCCACUUUGUGUAUCCCUACCACUAGUUACAAGGAGGAAGGAUGUGAACAGAAAAAUGCAAACUUAACAGAACUGGAAAAGCAAGGCCAACCACUUGUCCUAGGAUGUCUGGGAUGAGACAUAUAUCUCAGUGCCUUGUGACCUAGUUCUGAACGACACAGAGAUGGUCAAGGGAAGCAAGACCUUUGAACUGUGCAGGCUGAGUGGGGCUCUGACAAAGUAACAAAGAAACAGCCAUAGGAAAUGAACAAAGAACAGGAAAGCCAGCACCAUGAACAGCACGAGCAGCAGGGAGCGAGCCUGCUGGUUGACGCUAGCCCGGAGCUCUCUUUGAGGAUGUCAUUGUCCACUGAGCACACACUGAAGAGUCAGCCCUUCCCAGGUGCAGAGAGGCGGAGGGUGGGAGCCUUCGUUCCUCACUCCUCUGUCUGCAGCUGCGAGCAGGAAGGAAGAGUGGGGGAGCAGCCUCCCCUUUGGCACUCCACGUGGGCAGGUGACUUGCCCUGAGCCUAAAAGGGUCAUGUUGUCUCAGGGACAGGCAGCCUCAGGCCUGGAGGGGUUUGACUGAUUGUACCACUUUUCCAUUUACAGCACUUUAGCCUAUUCUGAGUCCUAUGUACAUUUGACCUUCCAAGAACUCUAGGAGGGUGGGUAUUAUUAUCUAUAAUCAUAAAGAGAAAGAGACAGGAGACCGAGUUGCCCAAGGACGCUCAGGUGGUUAUGACAGUAGCCCAGGUGACUCUCAGGCCUCUGAUCUGCCCUCAGCUGUGUGCAUUUUACACGCUCUUGCACCCCAAGUGCACUUACUUGUUUG